rnacentral:rRNA from 1 species
AUUGAACGCUGGCGGCAUGCCUUACACAUGCAAGUCGAACGGUAACAGGUCUUCGGAUGCUGACGAGUGGCGAACGGGUGAGUAAUACAUCGGAACGUGCCCGAUCGUGGGGGAUAGCGAGGCGAAAGCUUUGCUAAUACCGCAUACGAUCUACGGAUGAAAUCGGGGGAUCUUCGUACCUCGCGCGGACGGAGCGGCCGAUGGCAGAUUAGGUAGUUGGUGGGAUAAAAGCUUACCAAGCCGACGAUCUGUAGCUGGUCUGAGAGGAUGAUCAGCCACACUGGGACUGAGACACGGCCCAGACUCCUACGGGAGGCAGCAGUGGGGAAUUUUGGACAAUGGGCGAAAGCCUGAUCCAGCCAUGCCGCGUGCAGGAUGAAGGCCUUUGGGUUGUAAACUGCUUUUGUACGGAACGAAAAGCCUCUUUCUAAUAAAGAGGGGUCAUGACGGUACCGUAAGAAUAAGCACCGGCUAACUACGUG